UACGGAGGGUGCAAGCGUUAAUCGGAAUUAGUGGGCGUAAAGCGCACGCAGGUGGCUGAGUCAGUCGAUUGUGAAAGCCCUGGGCUUAACCUGGGAAUUGCAGUCGAUACUACUCGGCUAGAGUAUGGGAGAGGGCAGUGGAAUUCCCGGUGUAGCGGUGAAAUGCGUAGAUAUCGGGAGGAACAUCAGUGGCGAAGGCGGCUGCCUGGCCCAAUACUGACACUCAGGUGCGACAGCGUGGGGAGCAAACAGG
rnacentral:rRNA from 1 species